ensembl:lncRNA
GACUCCACACAGAAAGGCCACUGGGUAGAGUUGAACCCACAACCUUCUUGCUGUGAGGCGACAGUGCUAAUCACCACACCACCGUGCCGCCCAUUAUCGGUUUUAGUGAACUUAAAAAAACAUUUUGCGUGAGUCUGCGCCUUUGUACAUGAUAUUACUUAUUUAUUCUUUAAUGGAAUAUCUUAUGCAAUCCUACAUUGUCUCAUCCCUCGUACACAUAACAUAUUCUUUGAGUUGAAAAUGGCAUUUCCUAAUGAAUUUUAUUGCAGAAAGUUGUACUUCACAAGUGAGAGUACUGCACUGUCUGACUAAACAACUUCCCCUGUUCUUAAGUUCUCAGAAUUUAUUGGGUGUUAGAUACUCCCCACUUCUCCUUAUUCAUCUGUUAGAGCCACAAAGCGAAAUAACGGUUUCUCACCUCACUCAGAGUCACAACACCCACUAAACAUGUGGAAACAUGACAAACAAGGAACUGCCACGGCAAGGUGAUCAUGCACGACCCCUUCGCCAUGCGGCCGUUCUUCGGUUACAACUUCGGCGACUACCUCGCUCACUGACUGAGCAUGCAGACCCGAAAGGCCCCCACUCACCUGCCCAAGAUCUUCCACGUAAACUGGUUCAGGAAGAACCCGGCGAACGGCGCCUUCCUG